ensembl:lincRNA
CUCUUUUUCUUCCUCUCCCCUCCCCCUUUGCUUUUAGUUAAUUGCAGCUGUGGUCAAGGGCCCACAGCCAAAAGUCCCACAAUGCACUCCUCCACAGGAAGUUCCCAAGAUCUCUUCCUGAACAGGAAAUUUCCUGUGGUCCAACAGACAUUCCUCUCAGCGUUUAUCACUCACAUACAUUUGUUUUGGCAGAUACUAGGUCUUGGACACUCACGGAGGGCUGGACAGCUGUUUCCACUCUUACCUCCCCAGGCUGGCAUCAGAAGAUCUGGGCUCAGCCUCACUGCCAUUUACCAGCUUGGUGACCCUAGACAAGCCAUCUCAGCCACCAGCAUCCUGCUUCCUCAGCUGUAGAUUUGUGGCUACCACGGGCCCAGGGGAUGUCGUGAGAGCAGAUGAAAUGAUAACAGUAGCAAGGUUGUAAGAAACAGUGCAGGAGUGAGUGUGGCCCAUAAAGGGGCAAUAUGAACACUGGCCAAGGACGGAAAGAAGGCUGAGCACCAUGUUUCCUCUCCUUUCCUUCAUGGUGCAUGCACAGAAGCCUCAGGGUCACCCUAUUGUCUCCACUGCCUCCCUUUCACAACAUACUCUCCUGCUUUACUUGACAGAGGAGGAACUGGAAGCCGAGGUGUCUGCAUUGUACCUGUGCACAGCAGAUGCCUCAUUUGGAUGCAAAGGGAAAAAUCUUUUUUGGGGGUACCAGGGAUCAAACUAGGGACCUUGCAUUUGUGAGGCAGACAGCGGAACCAUUGAGCUACAUCCCUGGCCCUUAAAGGGAAAAAUCUAAAGAACGUGGCCAAGGUAAUCUGCAUGUUAUCAGCAGAGGGCAUGGACUUGCUGUGGCCAUUUAGAUCAAACCCACAAUGUUAUUUUGCUCAGUCUUUUUGAAGCUAACAGAUAAGAAUGAGAGGUUCCCUCCGCUCUACCAACAUUUACUGAGUCUUUCCUAUAUGCAAUGUACCAAGUGUUUUACUUUUGUGCUCUCAUUUACUUCUUAGAAUAACCCUAAGAAAUGGGCACAGUUAACUCUAUCCUAAGGUCCUCAGAGAGCUGAUGUCACCUUCUAAGUUACUUCGAAGUGCCAAGAUCCAAAGGCUGUUUCCCAUUUCACAGUAUCACCUUUUUAUACCACAGAAGCUACACUUUGUUCUCUAGAAUGUGGGCGGGCUGGACAUGCAGCGGCAAAAUCAAUGUAGAAAGAAGUCUGGGGUGAAACCGGUAAGUCUCACAUUGACUCUCAAGGAUUAAAUGAAUAGCUGGUAACCAGCAAGGCUCUGUACAACUGCAGUGGCUCCGAAUGUAGCUCAAGAUGUUCACCACAAACAUCAGCUCCCAACUCAUGGUUCUCUUGGCCCAGUUCCAUGGAGAGUGCCCCUGCCCCGGGCUUCACAACAAGGACAGAACAGCUAGUGCCCUUCUGCUGAUGGGCAGCGGUGCCAAGGACAGGGACUGCGGCAGGAUGUUCUGCAAGGAAGGCACUGUACUGGCACAACCCAGCCACCCAUGAACUGAGACAGCCAAGCUCUUUCAGCUUCAGGACCUUUCUCAAAGGAUCCAUGGCUAAAUUAAAUAUUUUAAAUAUAUUCUGCUUUAACUGAGUAAUAGCUUCUGCUUUAUUUUCACACAUGCUAUACUCGAG